CAGUAGUCACGAGUUUGAUCCUGGCUCAGAUUGAACGCUGGCGGCAGGCCUAACACAUGCAAGUCGAACGAGACCUUCGGGUCUAGUGGCGCACGGGUGCGUAACGCGUGGGAACCUGCCUUUAAGUUCGGAAUAACUCAGAGAAAUUUGAGCUAAUACCGGAUAAUGUCUUCGGACCAAAGAUUUAUCGCCUUUAGAUGGGCCCGCGUUGGAUUAGCUAGUUGGUGGGGUAAAGGCCUACCAAGGCGACGAUCCAUAGCUGGUCUGAGAGGAUGAUCAGCCACACUGGGACUGAGACACGGCCCAGACUCCUACGGGAGGCAGCAGUGGGGAAUAUUGGACAAUGGGCGAAAGCCUGAUCCAGCAAUGCCGCGUGAGUGAUGAAGGCCUUAGGGUUGUAAAGCUCUUUUACCCGAGAUGAUAAUGACAGUAUCGGGAGAAUAAGCUCCGGCUAACUCCGUG
rnacentral:rRNA from 1 species